rnacentral:tRNA from 1 species
UGCCCCAUGGCUGAGUUGGUUACAGCGUCCGACUGUUAUGUCUUGACAUCGGAAGGUCGAGAGUUCGAGCCUCUCUGGGGCAG